AAAAUAAUUCAUCAGGGAAUCUACCUUACCCUCCACCUCCACCACCUGGCUAUGGCCAACCUACAGACAAUGAUUCAACAGAGAAUCCGCUUUACCCUCCACCGCCACCACCUGGCUAUGGCCAACCUACAGACAAUCAUUCAACAGGGAAUCACCCUUACCCUCCUCCAACGCAACCUGGCUAUAUCCAACCUACAGACAAUCAUUCAACAGGAAAUCUGCCUUACCCACCACCGACACAACCUGGCUAUAGCCAACCUACAGACAAUCAUUCAACAGGGAAUCCGCCUAAUUACCCUCCACCAAUGCAAUCUGGGUAUGGCCAACCUACAGACAAUCAUUCAACAGGGAACCCUUACCCUCCACUGACGCAACCUGGCUAUGGCCAACCUACAGACAAUCAUUCAACAGGGAACCCUUACCCUCCACCGAUGCAACCUGGCUAUGGCCAACCU
rnacentral:lncRNA from 1 species